GGAUCAUUAUUUAAAUUAAGAAACGAGAGAGGAAGUAGCACACCCAGUUUAAAGGAGGUACCUGCUCUUCAAAAUGUACCCUACCCGGAACAGAUUGGCGUGAAAAGUUCCGCGGACGGUGAGGUAGCUUCGUGGGUCAAGAGUAGUACUUCACACGCUGCAAUUGCCUAAGUCGAGAAAUACUUUUUUAAUCGGAGGUCAGGUCGGAGCUGCUCUCCGCGAAGUGACCCUUAUCGGGGAAUACCCCAUCACCGCAUUCCUCGCCUAAGUGCAAAAGAGGCCGACUGCUGGAGGUGAGCUCCUAGGAACAUUGCGAGGUGUAGCACCCCCCUGGGGAAUCAAUGGCUCCUCUCUCUCAACUUUAAAAUUCCCUCUGUGUAUCAUCUCCAUGUUGCUUCCCGUGGGUGCCAUCACGUUGUGGCCCUGCGGGGAGAAUCUCACAAACUCUGGUUGUUAUUGUCGUUAGUCUGAGUGGUCAACACAUCAAAACAAGUUAAAACUUUCAACAACGGAUCUCUUGGUUCUCGCAUCGAUGAAGAACGCAGCGAAAUGCGAUAAGUAGUGUGAAUUGCAGAAUUCAGUGAAUCAUCGAAUCUUUGAACGCACAUUGCGCCUUCUGGUAAUCCGGGAGGCAUGCCUGUCCGAGCGUCAUUAAACAAACUUCUCAAGCAUUCUUGCUUGGUCUUGGGGCUGUGCCAGGUUACUACCCUAUGGUAGGCCUGCCCUCCGAAAUACAUAGGCAGAAGCCCUGGUGGCAUCAGGUGUGAUAACUCUGUGUUCACUUGAUGGCGACAGGGCCUUGCGCCGUUCCAACCAGCCCCCCAGCUGUUCUUUCAAGUUUGACCUCGGAUCAGGUAGGGAUACCCGCUGAACUUAAGCAUAUCAU
rnacentral:rRNA from 1 species